rnacentral:rRNA from 1 species
AUUGAACGCUGGCGGCAUGCCUUACACAUGCAAGUCGAACGGCAGCGCGGGGCAACCUGGCGGCGAGUGGCGAACGGGUGAGUAAUAUAUCGGAACAUACCCUAGAGUGGGGGAUAACGUAGCGAAAGUUACGCUAAUACCGCAUACGCACUAAGGUGGAAAGUGGGGGAUUCGCAAGAACCUCAUGCUCAUGGAGUGGCCGAUAUCUGAUUAGCUAGUCGGUGAGGUUAAGGCUCACCAAGGCAACGAUCAGUAGCUGGUUUGAGAGAACGACCAGCCACACUGGAACUGAGACACGGUCCAGACUCCUACGGGAGGCAGCAGUGGGGAAUUUUGGGACAAUGGGGGCAACCCUGAUCCAGCAAUGCCGCGUGAGUGAAGAAGGCCAUCGGGUUGCAAAGCUCUUUUGUCAGGGAAGAAACGGUGAGAGCUAAUAUCUCUUGCUAAUGACGGUACCUGAAGAAUAAGCACCGGCUAACUACGUGCCAGCAGCCG